UACGAAGGGGGCUAGCGUUGUUCGGAUUUACUGGGCGUAAAGCGCGUGUAGGCGGGUCGUUAAGUUGGGGGUGAAAUCCCGAGGCUCAACCUCGGAACUGCCUUCAAAACUGGCGACCUGGACUCAAGCAGAGGCAAGUGGAAUUGCGAGUGUAGAGGUGAAAUUCGUAGAUAUUCGCAAGAACACCAGUGGCGAAGGCGGCUCACUGGCCCGGUACUGACGCUGAGGUGCGAAAGCGUGGGGAGCAAACAGG
rnacentral:rRNA from 1 species